UCGUCGGCGCGGCCCUUCCCCGUAAAUACUCCCUCCUCCAGCGCCGCGUCUGCAUCCAUAGAUAGUUCUAUCUAUCUAUCAGUGAGCCCUGAUGGAUAAAGGAACCAGUCAAGAACGGUCCGUCAGGAACAAGAGGGAUGCUUCCAGUAGGGUGGAGGAGAAAUCGAAGGUAGCAGCGAUGCAGCUUCAGCUUCUACCCCCUGACGUUCUGCGGCACAUACUAUCACGGUUAUCACUCAAAGAAGUGGUGAGGUUGAGUACACUUUCUCAUGAAUGGAUACGGUUAAGGAUCUGCCAUCCAGACCUGGUGCUCACCCAAAAGACCUUCUUUGGCAAAACUGUGGCAUGGCGUACUUACCAGCAUCCGGAGACUACCAAAUUCAUCACCAAAGUAGACAAGCUAUUGCGUCCACUAUGGUCUACUUCGACUGCAACUACCACUACACUUGAUAAGUUU